rnacentral:lncRNA from 1 species
UUGUUUCCUAUUUUUUAAAUUACUAAUAUUAAUAGGCCUGGAAAAACAAUCUGAUUAUACAAAUGAUAAAAUUAUGAUUUUUAAUAGUUCAACAAAACUAAAACCUAGUAUAUAAAUAGAAUUGUUUUUUUAAAAAACAACCUCAUAUCGAGGGGAGACAAAUUAGAAGAUAUCAAGGAAAGAAAGAUGAGUAGACACGAGAGAGAAGCAGGCAGCCCUAACCUUGGUCUCACAGUUAUACUGGGGUUGUGGGGAGCCAUGGAAAUGGAGUGUGCAGAAAACUGACCUGCGGGAGGGAGGAGGCACCUCACCCAGCUCAGAGUGCAGCCUCCAGAAACGCAGUAUGAAGCAAUUCUGUAGUGAGUUGGGAACAAUAAAAGCAGACACCACUUAAAGAAAGCUUGUAUUUGAAGAUGACCCAGGAGGGAAAGCACCCUGUGUGGCCUGCACCUGUGGUAGUCAGUGGCGGCUUCCCUGUCUGUCUUCCCAGCAGGCCAGAGCUCACCUCCCAUCAUGCACCGGGUGAUGACUGCUGCCUUUCCUCAUCAAUCAACCAUAGAACUAGUCUACCAGCGUGGGAAAAUCCCUUUUCUCUCAGUUUCAGCAGUCAAGCUCAUUCUACAUCUCCGGCCACAGAUGGGUGUGUCUUAACGGACGCCCUAAUAAAAGCCCCAGCUUCAGUUUCCUUUCCCAGCUUCCACUUUAUCUCAGAAUCUUGGUUCAGAUCACACAUCUAAUAGAAGAAG